rnacentral:lncRNA from 10 species
ACUCUCUUGUCAUUAUUCCAAAAGGCUGCACAUCCAUUUAUACCUAAUUCAAAAUAUUUCUUUUUCAUAAAGCAUUUUCUAUGUUAUUCAUUUCACCUCCAAUAAUCUCUCAUUUCUCUGAAUCCAGCUCUUUUGUCUAUACAACUCACUUUUGAAUUUGUUUUACUCUAUUUUUUAUCAUCUGAACUGUAUCUUAUUUGUCUGAAUACACAUCCAUGAACUGAGGACUCAUAUUUAAUAUUGUCUUCUAUCUUCCUUUUUUUUUCCAAUAUAACGCUUUACACAGUAAAAUUCUGUUACUUAAUCGCGCAGUGUAAAUUUUGGUGAUAAGCUUUACUGUUAUAAAUAUACUUAUGUGUAUAUCCCCCUCCCUACAUUUCAGGGUCAUUAGGUAUAGGAGGAGUGGUUUGUCUUUUCCAUAUUACCUGAGAAUGCAACAUUUGUGAGGCUGUCUCUUAGUAUCUGGGCACCCAUGUUAUGGUCCAGAGAACCAUUCACAAAAACUUUUGGCCUUAUUUCCCAUAACCCAUUUCUAAAAAAGAUUAUAUAAAAUGAUUAUUUGAUAAUUGAGACAUAUUAUGAACACAUAUUUUACCUAUGCAUGUAAAAUACAUAAAUAUCAUUAUAUAAUUACAUAUAUACUAUUAUAUAAUAUCAAAUAUGUAUGUAAUAUUAUUUAUAUAAAAACAUAUAAAAUUAUUCUGGAUAGAAAAUAGGCUUAGACAGGAAAACAAACUAAUUUGGUGAGGUCUCAAAUCCCUUUCCAGAAAAUGUUUUAUAAUUUUCUGAAUUUUAAUUUAAGAAGCAUUGAUCCAGGAAAUAUCUUAAACCCAAACAAAAACUCAAAUAAAUUUAACUAGAGUACAAUAUGUAAUGACAUUUAAACUACAAAAUAUUGCAAGCUACAAAAAUAUUACAAACUAUAAAAGUAUGGGUUAGUAUUAUAUCCUACUUAUCUUUUGUUUAAGCCUUAAAUUAAAUAGGAGGAUAAUAUUACCAUUAUGGUAGGAACAAUGUGUUCUGUAACAAAAAUAGCACUCAAAAUAUUCAUGGCGUCUGUUUUCUUCUUCCAAAUCACUUUAUACUUGAAUGAUUUAGUUAUGAAUAGAGGUUAAGGUAGACAGUCUUAGGACCAGAGAAAAUGAGUGUUUGUUUCAAAUUCUAAUUUUGCUGCUUAAGUUUAAUAAUCAGUCUGAACCUCCCUUUGUUCAUCUGGAAAAUGGAAGUAAAACCACCUGGCAUGGUUUCAGUGAAGACUAAAGACAUGUAAAACACCAAGCUCUGUGCUUGGUUCAUAAGAGACGUUUAACAACUGGAAACUCUUAAUACCAUUUGCAUUCUUUUGAGGGUAAAUACAUUGAUUUCCACCUCCAUUUUUUAGCAUGCUAAAUAUUAUCUACUAUAUAAUUUUUUCUUAUCUAGUGUGAUACUCUUGAUGAAAUCUAAUUCAUCAGCAUGUCAAUUUGAUCUCUUGAGGUCUUUAACAUUGUGGUAUUUCCAACUUUAUAUUCUGCAAACUGCAAGCUUCCAAAUCAAAUGCACUUUGUUCUGAUUUAGCGUAUUGAAAUUUUCUGUAGAAUGGCUAGAUCCACAUAGUCUAUCUGGGCCCCAGCAUCACAUAAUAUAUUCAUGUAAUAAACCUGCACAUGUACCCCCUGAAUCCAAAAAAUAGUUGAAGUUAUAAAAAUAAAAAAUAAUUAUUAUAGGGUAUAUUAGUCUGUGUUCACACUGCUAUAAAGAUACUAUCUGAGACUGGGUAAUUUAUAAAGAAAGGAGGUAUUAUUGACUCACAGUUCCACAUGGCUGGGGUGGGCUCAGGAAACUUACAGUCAUGGCAGAAGUCAAAGGGGUAGCUAGCACCUUCUGCACAGGGCAGCAGGAGAGAUAGAGAGAGCAAGCAAAGGAGCAUUGCCACACUUUAAAACCAUCCACUCUCUUGAGAAUUCACUCACUCUCAUGAGAACAACAUGGGGGAAAUCGCCCCCAUGAUCUAACAUCUACCAAGUCCCUCCCCUGACAUGUAAGGAUUAUAAUUAGAGAUGAGAUUUCUGUGGAGACACAGAGCCAAACCAUGUCAUAGGGUAAUGACUGAUUUAAAGGUUUUAUUCAGCUUCCAAAUGCCAAUACCGUUAUACAUCAAGCACUGUGGUAAGCAGUGGGGACACGUAUGAAAACCAUUAAACUCUCACCUUGCAAAGACUGAAUCUCUCAGUAUUAUUUUCAAGAAAGGCCAAAAAGAGUAUGUGUGUGCCUGUGUGUGUGUGUGUGUGUGUGUCUAUUUAUAUAUAGAAAGUAUGAACAACAUAUCAUAAGGACAAAAAAUGAAAAGAGACACAUAGCACUAUAUACUAUGGUUCUGGUGAAGGAGGGAAUAAAGAAGUUGAUACCCAAAAGCCAUAGAUUGGGCAAGAAGGAUUAGAGACUUCCUCAGCACAGUUAGUUCUGAACCAGUAAUAGUAGGAUUUUCAACCAGAUGCUGUAGCAAUGAAAUUUAAAUGACAAUCUAAAAGAUAAUCUAAAAAUAAUAAAACAAUCUGGAAAUAACAUUAACUUUCUCUUCUGGCGUCUAAAUCCUGAGUAAUUGUGCCUUAGAUUGCAGAAGAGUUUAAAUUAAUUUAGUGCAAUGAAGUGAAAUAAGCUGUCUUUACUUUUAUUUCCCCAAUUCGAUAUAAGAAAAGAGUAUAAAUCUAUAGUAAAUCCUUUUACAACUGUGACGUAAGUAACUCAUUUAUAUAGUUUCAGUACUUGAUAAGUAACCAAAACAUCCUUUGCUAAGAAAUAAAGUCUUACAAUAUAUGUAUGGUAUGUGACUAUAUAAAUGUAUUUUUAUACUUGUAUUUGAAAUAAAGCAAUUUUUAAAUCAAAUUUUCUUUUUCUUUUCUUUUCUUUUUUUUUUUUUUUUUUUUGAGACAGGGUUUUCUUUAUUACCUAGGCUGAAGUGCAGUGGCGUGAUCAUGGCUCACUGCAGCCACUCCCUCCCGGCUCAAGUGAUCCUCCCACCUCAGCCUCCCGAGUAGCUGGGACUACAGCCACAUGCCACCACACUCAGCUAAUUUUUGUAUUAUUUUGUAGAGACGGAGUUUCAACAUGUUGCCCAGGCUGGUCUCAAACACCUGGGCUCAAGCAAUCUGCCCUCCUUGGCUUUCCAAAGUGCUGGGAUUACAGGUCACCAUACCAGGCCUUAAAACAAACUUUCUAUAUUCAGAUUUAUCUACACAGAAGGAAGUCCCCCCAACACACAUACACACACAUGCAAACAUAUUCAAUUUGUUUCUUCUAUCUGGUCUUGGUUGUCGUCAAAUCAUACAUUCUCUCAUCUGGAUGUGCACCUCUUAGUAUUUUCCUUCUUCAAUUCUAUUAACAUAGCCAACCACUUUCACUAUUUUGCAUCCAUUCACCAGAUAUUUAUGUUUAUCAAUCACCUACAGAGUUAGAUGCUGCAGGAGGAGGUCAUAGAUGACAUGACAGGUGAAAGCAGUUGCCUAGAAAUUAUGUAGCAAUGUUGAAAACUAUAAGUAGAAUAAAGGAAGUCAAGCUGGUUUAGACAAGGGCAAUGUCACUGGAAGCAAAGAGGUAUUUUUGCCUGAUCUUUUCAUUGUCAUUGUGCAGAUUUUAUCUACAUAAACAAAGACAUGAAGAUAAAAUUACUUUUAAUCUGAUGUCCCCUCCCACCCCAUCCAUCAUUCUGUAAAAUAUGAUUCAGUGAGGGAAUGGACCUUUAGUCGCUACAUCUUUGUAACAAAGAUUUGCAGGUUUGAAUGGCAGACCUGGUUUUUAUUCCAUCCUACCAGGGAUGUGGAGAUCAGACAGGUGUACACAGUUUUCUUUUCUUUGUACUGGCAGGUGGUGUCAUCAGAGUGAGAGGUGCCCUUCCAAUAUGUUCAGCCAAAAACUUUUGUCAGCUAAGCAGAUGGCAAAGCUCAUCUACUAUGCUGACAGUUUGCAGAUAAAUGGAAGACUUACUUGGCUAAUCCAUGAACUGCUGAAAAGCAGGAGUAAAAAUAAAAAUAAAAAAUCCAUGGGUCACAAAUGGAUUAGGGCAGUUCUUAUUUAGAAAUAGCUCAAGGCUUUGUCUAUCAGUGUUGACAAGGCUUAAAGUUAGGAAGGCCUCAAUUAAUUAAACUAAAGAAAUCAAACACAAAAGCAAGGUUACUAGUAACAAAACUAAUGGCCUAUUUUCAGUAAAGCAAAAUUUAAAAUCAAAACAGAUUCAGCUAAAUAGGAGAGUUUAGAAAUGUAAAUCAAUAGAAGAAAAUAUUUAUUUAAAAUUAAAAAUAAAAAACGGAGGGCCAACAUAUUUCAGCUCCUAGUAUGUUGAAAUUUGCAUUAGCGUUAUUUUAAAAGUCGUAAUUUUGCUUUUGCAAUUUUAUAGUGUUGAAAAUAUUUCAAGUCCAUAUAUAUGAUGCAACUAUAUUUUUUACCUUAUUUAUUAUUUUGACAUUUUUGAAUAAAUGUUUUCUAUUACCCUACACUAAUGCCUUUUUCUUCCUUUUUACGCCUUAAUGAUUUUAAAUGUGUAUCCUCUGUUUAAUUAUUUUCAUC